GGGCACAUGGUGUAGAUGGUUUAUCACGCCCGCUUAGCAUCAAUAGAGAGUAUCUACAUUGUGCGGGAGGUGUUGGGUUCGAGUCCCAAUGUGUCCA